CUGAGUGAUAAAAAUUUGAAGUACACUCUGCAAUCCGGCCCGGACGAAGAGAUUCUCCCUGUGGAUGGCUCCCAGAUGAAAAAAAAUCCUCUAAUUACUCGUUUACACAUUCGAGCAAAUUGACUUACCGAGAUGGAAGGAUAGUUCUGGUAUCGACAGCACGAAAAUGGAUUGGCCUCCGCAGUAACGAAGCAGUCAUACAGGAUAAAGUAAACAUGACUGAAGUUGCCCUCGAAGAAGCCCUUGGCCUCGUCCGUGUCGACAUUUUCUGAAAAACCCACGAAAUCCUAACAAUUUCCGAGGUAAAUCGACACACAUAACAGUCGAGCUAUUAUUUGUGUGAUACGAGACUCCAGACUCGCCAUGUGGUUUCAGAUAAGACUUAUCAUCACCACAAUUAUUCUGAUUGCACUCCAUGCAAAGCAGCAAAAAUUCCUUUUAAACAAAAAUCUCAAAACGUUUCAACUACUGGAAAACCUCAAUUUAUCCUUCCAAACGGAGACAUCCAACUAAUUUAAUUAUUCUCUAAUAAUUUUUCAAAAGAAAAAUCGAGGUGCAAUUUAAUUUAAGAAUUCCUCUGCAUGUUCCAUGUUAUGAAUAUUCAUGCCCCAGAAUUUCCAUCAUUAAAAGAAAACGAGUGUUUCCGAGAAGUGAAAUUGUUCAACACGGAGAACCUGUCGACUAAUCCUCAAAAAAUGUGCAUAAAAUGUGCGUAGGAUGACAGGCAACACCUCCACUCCCAUUUGACACAAUAAAUGAAUAGUCCCAAGGUAAAACAAACUAUUGGCAAACGAACAAUAACUCGGUUGUUUGGACAAGUGAAUUGACAGGUUGACAGGUGCCCCUGGGGGCGUCAAGGGCCACGACAAUCCAAUUCUCUGGAAUCAGCUGUGAACUCACCUAGGAC